CAACAAACAACCACUCUACCCUCUGAAACUCUACCCUCUGAAACUCAACCCUCUGAAAUUCAACCAUCUGAUCCCACACCUCUGAUAUCACCCCACCAAAAAUUCCCGCUGUACCUGAAGAAGACUCUAAUCCUUUAGACCUAAACCCUCUUUAUGCUUCUUCCCAAACAUCUGAACCUUCACCAGAAGCAGAAUCUGAACCUCAACCUGAG
rnacentral:lncRNA from 1 species